rnacentral:lncRNA from 1 species
UCGAGUAACAGUUGGUUGUUUCCAUCUUCUCUUGUACUCCCACCUCUACACUUGUGGUACCCAACUCGGGAUGAGUCAGGCGAGAUGAACGGGUUAAGGUGGUGAGUUUUGGGCGACACGAAACGAGUCAACUCAAUAAACUUGUUUUUUACCAGGUCAAAUAACUCAAUAUGGCGAUAACUCGAGGUGGGUCUCCGAGUCGCCACUGCUAUGAAUUUAUUAUUACCUGGUGAAGUGGCUGGAGUGAACGCGUGGAGUCCAGGUGGUGUGACUCGUUGAAUCGACACUGACUCAGUCGAAACCAGUCCAGUUUGGGGCAGAAUCACUUUGUACACACUGAUCCAGUCAUCUUCUUCGCUUUUUCUGUGGAAAAACAGUGUUGACUCGUCGACCCAACACGGCCAUCCGCCGUUUUCAACUAUCUUGACCCGCUGAGUCCCAUCCCGAGUCAGGAAAAUAUAAAUAUCAGUACUCAGCAUCUCCACUUCGCCAUCCCAGCCUUUAUUUCCAUAUGAAGCCACAGCCGUGUACUUCCCAGAAGGAGAAACCGCAGGGCUGAAAUCGGCAACUCCAUAUGGGGUCAGCCUCCGAGUCAAACCGGUCUUUAACUCGGUCGAGUAAACAGCAGCCCAACUCGUCCUUGGCGUACCCGGGUUCUCAUGAGUUGACACGUAGAUUAAAUACUCACCGCUCAGAAUCGGCUUGUCCUUCAUCGAAAUUACACCACCGUUAACCUCGUUUAAAUCCAGCAGAGGUACCUGCACACGGGUGGAAACUUCAGCUCCGUGCUGCUCGAGGGCAGUUCUCGAUCUGGUGUUUCGCCGAGUAUCGUAAUAAACAGCAUCGUAGUAUAUGUUGGAUGUUCCGUUUCGUUCGGUGACGUAGAUGAGCUGCAGAGGAGGUGGGUCCCGUGAGUCCUGAGGUCCCGGAGAUUGAAUGAGGGUUUGAUUGCGCAGAAGAAAGGAGAGGAAGGAGGAAGACGGUGAGGGGAAGUGACCGUUGAAAUUCACUGAUUCACCAUCAGUGAUUUUAAUCUCGUUUGCGGUCGUCGGCCGGUCCGAAAUUGGGAGGGUAUAAAUGUCGAAGGCAUAAUCCGAUCGGCCAAGUGUUGUGAAGAUGAUGCUGCUUCUGCUAGAAGAAUCUUCGUCCGCCGUAGCACGGAAGACGGCUGAAAGCAAAUAAAGAAGCGAACAGAAAAUAGUUUGGAGUUUCAUCGUUUGGUUUCUUUAGUUCAGUGACUGGAGCUUGUGGCUUUGUGUCUCUGAGAGAAAUUUGUUGGUUCUAUUUUUUAUGGGGGCGAUUUGUUUAAAUUUUGUGUUGUAAGAGAUGACGUCGUCGGAUGAUUUUUUGGGUCAUUGCUUAAUAAAAUUUUAUUGGGCCACACGUGGCGACACUGAAAUAAGUUCGAGAGUGUUUCGAGAUAUGCCUGUCUAUUUUUAUCCAAAUCCCACAUUGCGUUAACUAGAGGGAGGCUUGUUUUCGUCCUUUUACUUUUAAUUUUUAAUUGGCCUCGGGCUCAAUUAGAUACAGGACUACAAUUUGGUUGGCUAGAGCAUGAAGGAGCAUCCACUGAGAAAAUUAAUAUAUUAAUUGAUGAUGAUAAGAAAAAUAUGUCAUAAUUUGACAUAGGUGUUAUUUGAGAUUUGACGGUAACAUAGCCAAUUUUGGUUUAAUAUUCGAGUAACGAAAAAGUCAUGAUCCUGUCCUUCUAGCCUUAAACUUAGCCAUCAUCUACCGCCCAUCACUUGAGUAAAAUAUCCUCAAGCAACCAUCACGGAUUCAUAAUGAUAUUGUUUGGUUAUUAACCAGAAUGAGCGAGUAACUGUGUAAAAGCUUAAAUGUUAUUGAUUCAUUUGUGCAAGUUUAUACACAUCUAGAGAGAGCAAAUAAAAAGAAAUAAGUAAGGUGAUCCGAAAUUAAAGGAAUUUGAUAAUAGAAAAUAGUAAGCCUUGAUAGAGAGUUGAUUGAUGCUAUGAUGAAGAUGAUUGCUCCCAAUCAAUGAUUUUAGUAGAAGUGGAUGAGAUUCUUUCCUAAUAUGCCCUCUUAAGAUGGAGGUUUCCAUUGGAGAUGCCAAUCUUGGACCGCAGCAUAGAGGCGUUGCUUUCUUUGAUAGUGGUUUUAUGAGUUCAAACAAGUUGAUCAUAAAGUAGAUGCAUGGGAAAUUCGAAAAGCACCACUUGCUAUUUUUUAUCUCAAACAAAGUGGUAGUUAAUAAGAGCUGGGUGCUUCGUGUGUGAGUGAAAGACUGGGUUGGCACAAAGAUAAGUGACACCAAGGUUGUCGCACUUCACUAUAGGGGUUGAGGUAAGAGAUGCAAAAUUCAAACAUCGAGUUUAAAAUCCACAAUGGCAAAGGCAAUGGCAUGAUACUUAGCUUCAUAGACAAACGGACAAAUGGAGCAUUUCUUCUUGGAACACCAAGAGAUAGGAUUUGAGCCAAGCAGCAUGACAAAAGCCAGGAUUGAGGUAAGGUCGUCUCUAUUCCCAGCCCAGUCAGCAUAUGAGAAAACUGUAAGAUAAAAAGACUGACGAUAUUUCGGAAAGAUUUUAAUUAACUUUUCUCUUAAUUAAUAAUUUAAUAUUAAUAAAUUAAACUAAUAUCUAUGGGCUUGAUUUUAAUUUGCAAGCCCAUCUCUUUCAAUUUGAAUUUAAAAAUCUAGAGUUCCAUAAUUUAAGUAUAACUAUGUAUUGCGGACUUGACUAUAAAUUAGUGAGGGUUUGAGAAAAAUUUAUUACAAAUUUUAAACAAACUAAAUUAAUUAUUAAUUAUUGUUUUUUUACUAGUGGUGACUUAAGGGUGCGUUUGGCACACUGUAUUGUAUUAUGGUGUAUUAUAUUAUUUUUAUGCUGGUGUAUUGUAUUAUGAUGUAUUGCAUUAGCACUGUAUUAUAACAAUGUUUUAUAAUGUUUGGUGCUGCACUGUACUGUAUUAAUUUUUUGUGAUUAAUUUAUAUUAUAUAUUUAUAAAAUAAUAUUUAUUAGUACUUAAAAAAACUAAAUAUAGAGAUCUUAAAUUUUAGAAAUUUAAUUACAAAAUGAAUUGUGCUAAUAUUUUAUAUUAUUAUUUAUGUUAUUAUUAAUUUUAGAUUAAUAUUAUUGUUAGGCAAAUAAGCUUCAACAAAGAUGAACAAAAUACAACAAACAGAAGUGAACCAAAGAUAAUUAAAGCAACAUCCAGCAUAUAUUAGAAGAGCUGCAAAAGGGUGUUCUGGAGCAAGUGAGAAACAAUUUAAGGAUAGCCAUUAAAUCCUUGAACGAGAGAGAUUCGCAUAACAGAAGCAGAAAAAGUUUGUUGUCAAGCAAGAAGGCAUCGGCAAAUAUGAGAAAAUGCAAUAUCUAGCCAUACAGAUAUGACCAAAAGCAGAAUAAGUCAAGAAUCAAAACAGUAGUAAAACAAAAUACUGAGGCAAAAUCAUGACAGCAAAGUCAACAAUGGAAGCCAUACACAUGUUAAAAAAGUUACCCAUUGUGACACUGCAUAAGGACAUAACAUAAAAAGAUAAGUUUGAUUUCUCAUCAAUAUAAUUUCAAAUUCCUUUAUAUCAGGUCUUUGUUUCUUUCUAAUCAUUAACUUAAUUUUUUUUUUGGUUCUUUUCUAAAUUUAAUGGCUCUAGAAUAGCUCUAUUCUUUAAUUCUGUUUUGCCUCAAUACUUCCUUUCAAGAACUAAAGUAAAUUCAUAAGAUUUCAUCUUAAUGAUUUUCAAGUUCCUUUUUCAAUAUUAAUUUCUCUACCAUUACAUGAUGUUUAUUACUAUUAAUUUGCAAAUCCAGAAUCGAAAGUACUAGUUGUCAAGAAUAAUUGCAAAUUUUACAAGCCACCUGUUUCAUUCCAAAAAUAACCAUUCACAGACAAUAACGCUUCAUCUUGUGCUUUGGUAUUGCAUUAAUGAAGUACAAUCCAGCGAGAUUUUAUUUAUUUAUUUAUUUGGUUUACAUAUGAAGGCUGAAGCUACAUUUGCCAAAAAUCCACCCACAAAAAUACUUUAGCCAAACAAUUAGGAUAAUUUUUUCUUAAUGUAAAGUCAACUACGGAUUGGAAAUACUUCUACAUGUGGUAAUAAUUUCUAGGCCACAAUUAGUGAAGCAAAGCACCAAAUUCUUUUUCUUUUAGACAAUUCAUCAAACAAUUGUCGGGCAUAGAUCUAUAAACUCAUCCAUUCACAACAUAAAGUAACAAAAUCUCAAUCAAAGCCUCACAAUAACAUAAUCAAACAAAAUACCAAUUUAAUUUAAAGGCAACAAGAAGACUCCAUUCUAUUUUCUUAACUGAAGAUAUAUUAGAAACUAAGUAAAUCACAAAAACAACAAAUGAUCCUUUUUCUUUAAAAGAAUAAUAAUCAAACCAAGCACACAAAAAAAGCACGCAUGAUCUAACAUACUAACACAAAGAUAAGACCCUCACAGUUUCAAAAAUGACGAAGGCACGACGGCAUGAUGAAGGCAGAGGAGCAUGGUGGUGGAGUGUCGCGAAGGCAUGCCGCGCAGUAGUCUCGUACGUCGCGGAGGUAGAUAGCGAAGACAGUGGAGCUGGUGGUGUCACGGUGGAUGUGUGGAGAUGCAGGCGAGCCACUACACAGAGAAGGAGAACGAAAAUGAAAGCGAAAUUUUUUUGGUCUCAAAAUAAUUACAAACCCGUGUAAACCCGACUCUCAUGCGGGUUUAUUUUAUGCGGGUUUGACCGCAUUACAAGCUUCUUUUGACCACAUUAAAAUACAGUGAGGAGUCGUCACCAAACAUGAUAUUCGAAAACUUUAAUGCUAUGAGGAGUCCUAAUACUAUGUACUGAGGGCUGCCAAACACACCCUAAAUAAUUAAGUCCCCACUGUCCUAUAGUAAAUCCAAAUCCGCCCCCUUAUGAAGAUGGUUGCUCUUAAUCAAUGAUUUGAUAGAGGUGGAUGAGAUUCUUUCAUAAUAAUUUUCAUUGGUCACCUUUACCUCAGCUACAACAUUAUUAUUAUGAUCCCCUGAUUGUUGAUCAAUUGAUCAUCGUUCAGCUUAUCCUGUACCAUCCGGUCGAUCACAAUUUCUCUGUGAUUAGUGAAAAUUUGUUACUAUAUAAGCACUUCUCUGGGCUACGGGCAAUUUCCGGUGAUUCCAAAUCGUCGCCUUGAAACCCAUCGGUUUCUGCACCACGUGCCUCCACCUCACACUCUCUGUCCAAAUUCAUUGCACGUGUGACUAUGCGAUACAUUUGGACCGUGCCGUACUCAUAACUGGGUUCUUGAUUAUACUUGGAUACCCAUGCAAUCUAUCUACAUAAAGUAGUGGCCAUACAUUCAACAUUGGACUUGAUCCAUCUGAAAUUUUUGUCACGCCGUCAUACCAAUUUCAGCCUCCUUUGAACAUUUUAUUUUUUUUUUAACUUGUAUCACCGAUCCGCUUUCAAUUUUUGGGAAACGAUUGUAGAAAUGAAUGAAUUAAAUGGUAACAUCAUUGAAUUUGGAACUGCUGACCUCGCAAUUAACUAUGGAAUAAUGCUAAUAAUAACAACAACAAAGUACACUUGGUUUUAUUGCACUUAAAAUCUUCUUACCUUUCAGAACUAUGAAGAAUUAGAAACCAUAAUUUAGCAUUCAGUGAGCAGAACAAGUGAGAAAAAUUAAAAAUUUCAUUAAUAAUACAUCUCUCGCGUACAAUAUGAGCAUGAUUUUUAUUCAUAUUCUGUAACUGGUUAUAUGGCUGAUUAAUAAGUACACAUCCAGAUAAACACACCGCUCCGCGCCGCCCCCCUUCCCCCACAAGUCACUAAUGACUUAAUAACCAUUUUCUUUACUACACGUGUAUGUGGAGGGGUUUGAAUUUCCAUAUGCAACGACAGUCUACUCACGUAAUUAUGGAGAUGGUAAUUAAUAAUUUUAUCAGCUUAUUAAUGGAGAUGGGUAAUUAAUAAUUUUAUCAGCUGAUUGCCUCUACAGCAUUUUCUUUUUAACAUUUGACAGCCAGCGGCAACUUCAAGUGGAUGGGUCGUUUGCUGUGACACUAAAAACAGACACUGAAUAUGGAAACUUAGUGGCCAAGACAAAGACUCGGUCAAUGAAAAAUAUAUAGCCAUCUGCUUCACUUGUCCCUCGUCCUCUCACUUUCUCAAAAGCAGAAACAACAACACCAAGUUUUCCUAAUUGCUGAUCAUUUCGCUAGUCUGCUUCUUGCGAUGAGUUUCUUGAGACCGUCUGCAUUGCAUCAGUUUCUGAUCACAUGCCUUUCAGUUAGAUGGAUGCCAUGCGAGAGCUGGGGCUUUCUCCGAUGGCCGGGUCUCGAUGGCUCCUUGAAAAUACUAAUUGGGUUGCUUUUGUGGUCAACGUUUUCUGAGAUUCGCUUCAUACCCUCUUCUUCAAUGUACCCAACUCUUCGUAUUGGCGAUCGAAUCAUUGUCGAAAAGGUCAGCAUUCCUCUGAAUCAUUUUGUUCUUUAAUUCUGUUAUUUAAUUCCUUUAGGUGGAGUGAUUUUCUGACUGUUGUCUUUAGAACGCUAGUAAUUGACUUCAUUUCUGUUUCGGUUGGCGUUUAGUUCGACAAUUUUGCUUCAAAUACUGCCUAAUUGGCAUUAGUGUGUCCACUAUUUUCUUGCAAACUUGUUAUCCGAUUCUUGAUAACUUAUAGUUUGUAUGACUUCCCGAUCUUUUUGGGAGAAGAAAAUGUAUUGUCAUCCUUAUGAUUGUCGUGGUCCAGGAAUAUUUGUCAUUUGGUUUAUUCAUUUUUUAUCUUCUUGAACAUGUUCACAUAUAAUAAGGAUGCUGCAUUUUCACUUUUUUUUUUUUUUUCUUUUCCGCUUAUAGGGUUGAGACAUCUCUAUAGUUGUUCUUAUAUAAACUUGCUUAAGCUUCUUCUAAAGAAUGUGAAAUUCAGAAAGGCGUGCUGCGAAUUUUAAUUUUUGACUCGCAGCUAAAUCUACUCUUCUACACAGUUUAUGGGUUGUUCAUUCUUUGCGUAGUAGGAGCUUGUUUUGGUUGGCCUUAAUAGCUAUUAGCUAGUGAGUGAGGUUUCAAUUCUAGUACUCUUGAUUAGAAUGAUUCAACUUAGAGAUGUUGUACUCGGGUAGAUUUCCUGUAUAGUGCUGCUUCUUGCAAGUACCCAAAGCUUCCUAGUGGAUGGACUUGAUAAAUAAGCAUUGUUACUCGUUGCUCUCAUACAUCCUAAGCAGAGGCGCAUGUCUGAUUUGAUUUUCUUUCAUAAGAGAAAAUUCCAAUCUAAUAUAGCCAAUUCACCUUUUGAAUCUUGGAAGUUUCCCUAUCUACAAGGGGAAGCAAUAUCUCUUGGUUCAUGAGCUGUUGCUAGCAGUUCAGUUCUGCUGAUAAAACGAGUCUUCCUAUGGACAGCCUUUUUUAUUUUAUUUCAUCAUAUCCCCACAGAAUACAAAAUAUAUAUAUUUCACUUUUCCAUCUCUCUGAGUAGUGAGUUUGCUUUAGAUGUCGUAAAAUUUAAUUCUUGGCACAGUUGUUGCAAGACAUGGCAAAAACAGCAGUCACACUCAACCUAGCGGUUAAUCUGGGACCAACUUUAGACUAGCAAAGCAAGAGCAUUUUGUGUAAGCUCCUUAUAAUUUAGAGAGUGUGUAUGGUCGUUCUAUCAUUAAGUGACUGGCCAGGAAGUAGUGGUUUCCCUUGAAGAGAAUAUAGAAAGUGGUUAUGAUCUUCGCAUUUACAUUCCUGGUUAGCGGUUUUUGACAAUUAAUUAUCUGAUCCAUUGGAUGUGUUUUCAAGUUUUGAUGAGUAUCGUGAUUGUAUUUUUAUGUCAAAAUUCGACUGCAUCUGUAGCUUGAGUUCUUUCUUUUGUUUGGUGUCAUAUCUAUUGAAACCUGUCCUGAAUGCUACGAGCUUUUGUCACACAGCAUUAUAGUUUUUGUAAGAAUAAGGGUUGCCAUGGAUUUCUUUUGAGGAAACCAUUUGUGAUUGUUUUGAGUAUUCAUGUCAAGUGUGCAUGUCAGUAACUAAAAACAACUCUGAAGGGCCAACAACAUUUGAUUAUCACUUGCUUCUGUUCUUCUGCAAAAUGCUGAAAAGAUGAUCUGGUUUUAUAGAUGUUCAACUUCAGAGUCGAUGGAUUUUAUUUUAUUUUAGUGUUUUUUUUUUAAACAACACGAUCGUUUUCAAUCUAAGAUUCUGUCUAGAUUUACUGUCAUUGUUUCUUUUUCUGUUGGUAAAAUCUUCCUUUCUAGUUUUGAUUAACACAAUGUUUAUAACUUCUUCAGGCCUCCUAUUACUUCAGAAAUCCUUCUAUACAUGAUAUCGUAACAUUUCGAGCUCCAUUUCAGGUUUGCUGAUGCAGUAUAGAAUUUUCCUAAAUGUUCAUACUUAAUGGUUAGUCCUUUUACUAAAGUACUAUUAUCUUAUUUUUCUUUUUAUAGUACCCUGGGUUAGGGGAGGAAGACGUUUUCAUUAAAAGAAUCGUUGCAAAAGCUGGAGACUUGGUUCAGGUUACAACUAUUUCUUUCACCCCUUCAUUAACUGAUAUGGGAAUAAAAUUUUGAAUUUCAGACAUUCAAUUAAGUUGAUUCCUGUUUGAUCAAAUUGAGUUGUUUUACUAUCACUUAAACUUCAUUAUUAUUUCCUGGCUAUGCACUUCAAAUUUGAAAACAAACAAAGCGUGUUCCAAUUACUAUAGUUAACUUCAUUAUUAUUUCCCGGCUACACACUUCAAUUUGAAAACAAAUAAAGCCUGUUCCAAUUACUAUAGUUUUCUGCCCCAUCAGGUAGCUACAUUCAUGCUGAGGCUUUUCAUUACAGGUUCGUGAUGGAUCGCUCUAUGUCAAUGGAAUUGCUCAGAAUGAAGAUUUCAUAGCAGAGCAUCCAAAAUACACAUCUGACUUAACUGUAUGUUACCCAAUCUGUUAUGUUCUUGUGUUUCUAUUUCACUGUGCUACUUUUCAGCACUUGGCUAUGCCAGCAGACCUUCUCUUGAGCUGCUUAAAGUAACUGGAAAAUGGCAAUAACUUGAGCCUUCUCACUGCAUGAGGUGAAAAAACAAAAAUAGCAUGAAGUAGCCCAGUGGACUCCAUGCUGUUGACAUCUGU